rnacentral:snRNA from 1 species
UCAGCUCUCUUUGCCUAUUGGCUUAGAUCAAGUGUAGUAUCUGUUCUUUUCAGUUUAAUCUCUGAAAGGUCUCUACUUGAGACCGUUCUACGAUUAUUCCUAUUUUUGGCCUACGGAUGGUUUCCUCUGUGCUUGCGCAUGAUUCCAUCCACAGUGUUCCUGGUAUUACACUGCCUCCAGGUAACGCGAACAACC